UACGUAGGGCGCAAGCGUUGUCCGGAAUUAUUGGGCGUAAAGAGCUCGUAGGCGGCUUGUUGCGUCGGAUGUGAAAGCCCGGGGCUUAACCCCGGGUCUGCAUUCGAUACGGGCAGGCUAGAGUUCGGUAGGGGAGAUCGGAAUUCCUGGUGUAGCGGUGAAAUGCGCAGAUAUCAGGAGGAACACCGGUGGCGAAGGCGGAUCUCUGGGCCGAUACUGACGCUGAGGUGCGAAAGCGUGGGGAGCGAACAGG
rnacentral:rRNA from 1 species